AGUCGAGCGGUAACAUUUCUAGCUUGCUAGAAGAUGACGAGCGGCGGACGGGUGAGUAAUGCUUGGGAAUAUGCCUUAGGGUGGGGGACAACAGUUGGAAACGACUGCUAAUACCGCAUAACGUCUACGGACCAAAGGGGGCUUCGGCUCUCGCCCUUAGAUUAGCCCAAGUGGGAUUAGCUAGUUGGUGAGGUAAUGGCUCACCAAGGCGACGUUCCCUAGCUGGUUUGAGAGGAUGAUCAGCCACACUGGAACUGAGACACGGUCCAGACUCCUACGGAGGCAGCAGUGGGGAAUAUUGCACAAUGGGCGCAAGCCUGAUGCAGCCAUGCCGCGUGUGUGAAGAAGGCCUUAGGGUUGUAAAGCACUUUCAGUAAGGAGAAAGGUAGUAGUUAAUACCUGCUAGCUGUGACGUUACUACAGAAAAAGCACCGCUAACUCCGUGCGCAGCCGCGGUAAUACGAGGGUGCGAGCGUUAUUCGGAAUCACUGGGCGUAAAGAGUACGU
rnacentral:rRNA from 1 species